rnacentral:rRNA from 1 species
GAUGAACGCUGGCGGCGUGCCUAAUACAUGCAAGUCGAGCGAAGCGGGGACGGGUGAGUAACACGUGGAUAACCUCCUAUAAGACUGGGAAAACUUCGGGAAACCGGGGCAAAACCGGAAACUUAUAGAUGGAUCUGGGCGGCAUUAGCUAGUUGGUGGGGUAACGGCUUACCAAGGCAACGAUGCAUAGCCGACCUGAGAGGGUGAUCGGCCACACUGGAACUGAGACACGGUCCAGACUCCUACGGGAGGCAGCAGUAGGGAAUCUUCCACAAUGGGCGAAAGCCUGACGGAGCAACGCCGCGUGAGUGAUGAAGGUCUUCGGAUCGUAAAGCUCUUUUAUUGGGGAGGCGGUACCUAAUCAGAAAGCCACGGCUAACUACGUGCCAGCAGCCGCGGUAAUAC